AUUUGUAGCAUGCGUAUCGAGAUGGUCAGUUGGAGGAAGUGGCGUUGCAUCGUCUCGGAGAAGAUGGGCAGACCAUCAUAACUAAAAAUAUUAGGUUGUCAGACAUUCUUAGUGACUAUGCACAUUAGGUGAAUGUUCACAACAUUUACUAGAGCGUGAGUUCCUCCUUUAGUCUGUUUAUUGUUUUAGGUAGACGACUAUGAUAUCUAAAUAAUGCAAGGACCUAUAUGCAGCUUUCUUCAGUUUUUACUGUUGCUCUCCAUAUCAAAAGGAUUGUUGAUGAGAGAAACCAAGCUUGGAAUCAUUGGGGUGUGCGGGGCUAUGCAAUAUAAAAGUGCAAUCUUAUAAUCAUGGAUGGAUAAAUAUAAUAUAUGUUGAAAGGCAAGGAAUGGGAAUGGAAUG